rnacentral:rRNA from 1 species
GACGAACGCUGGCGGCGUGCUUAACACAUGCAAGUCGAACGGUGACGCACCUGCGGGUGCUGAUCAGUGGCGAACGGGUGAGUAACACGUGGGCAACCUGCCCCUGACUCUGGGAUAACCCCUCGAAAGAGGUGCUAAUACCGGAUACCAUCCCCUGCGGCAUCGCAGGGGGUCGAAAGUUCUUCGGUCAGGGAUGGGCCCGCGGCCUAUCAGCUUGUUGGUGGGGUAAUGGCCCACCAAGGCGACGACGGGUAGCCGGCCUGAGAGGGCGACCGGCCACACUGGGACUGAGACACGGCCCAGACUCCUACGGGAGGCAGCAGUGGGGAAUAUUGCGCAAUGGGCGAAAGCCUGACGCAGCAACGCCGCGUGAGGGAUGACGGCCUUCGGGUUGUAAACCUCUUUCAGCGGGGACGAAGCGAAAGUGACUGUACCCGCAGAAGAAGCGCCGGCUAACUACGUGCCAGCAGCCGCAGUAAUAC